AAGUAUUAGGAUUACAGGCUUGAACUACUGCACCUGGCCAGGAAUUUAAGUAAUUAUCUUUUGGCUGUAGGUGUAUCACUGGGCAAAACCAGGUGUGAUAAGGCUGGCCGUACUCCAGGCAGGUGGGAGGACUCACUUAGCAUGUUCUUUUGUUGUUCUGAAUUUAUAAAGAAAAAAGCUUUUAGGUUCAGGAGUACAAGUGUGCAGGUUUGUUAUGUAGCGCGUUCUUACUACCUUUAUCACCCACUCCUCUGAUCAGCCAAGCACAAAGUUAAUCACUUUUCCUUGCCAAUGCCUGAAGUGAUGCCCACAGGUAAAUGCCUGUGUCCUACUAUGCUUUUGACUCAUUCCAAAAUGCCUGUGGGAGGAAGAGUAAGAGUAAGGAAGCUUAGCUUAGAUUUGGAGUGGCUCAGCAUUUAAUUCUAAUGGGUUAAAAAGGACAACAUGGCCAGAUUAUUUCUGGAGAAUCAACUACUACUUUAUGGGCACUGUAAAUUGUUAGGACUAAUAUUACUAAAAGCAUACAAUUAAGACUUAUGGGUUCAUACUUUCAUUUAAAAUUCAGAUCCCUUUAUGAAAUUUCUUUCAUGUGACUUUGGUAAUGUACCAUUGCUGAGAGAAUACAAAACAUGGCUGAGGAAAAAAGGUAUUUAUGCCAUACUUCCCCCACUGCACACACUUUCUUCCCUGGGUCUUCACAAAUACCAAUAUUACACUGCAUCUCAUCAACGCUUUUCAAUUCAAAGGUGUAAUAUUAAUAUGUUGGUACCAAACUGGAUGGAGAAUAAGGUGCAGCCAAUAGCCUGAAUGUAACUUUUCACAAUGCUAAUAGGUAAAGAAAACCACCAUAGCCUAUUGUCUUUAUUAUCAAAGUUUAUUGUUGGGGUCAGUUCCUAUCUACUAGGGAGUACAACUAUGUCUCAUUAUGUGCUAUAGUAAUUUUAGGGUAACAGCCAUUCUGCAAAAUAGUUGUACUGGGGCUCUGUUAGGCAUAGAUCAUAAUUAAGUCAGUGGAAGAAUGAGCCCAGAGAAACCCUGACAGUAGAGCCAUUACUCUAGGAAAGUUCCAGUGCUGUACAACCUGUAAGGCAUCAUCGCUCAGGUGAUGAUGAGACUCACGGAGGUGUUGGAGUGAAACAGGAAUUGAACCCAUUUUCUACUCUUCUUGGCAGGAUAACUAUGGCUCCAAGGCAGGAACCCAAAAUUAGGUCUUGUAAAAUCUUUCAAGUUCCCAAAGCAAGAGAAAUAAGACAUAAAGAAGAAACAGCCAGUAAUUAGGACAGUAGAUGAAAAAUUAGGUGGAACUGGAGGGAAUGGAAACUUCUGGAAUGCAAAGUAGCUGGGUUUAGAUGCCAUUUGAGAUGACCAAGAAUACAGUACAGGAAAAAGCAAAUGGGGAAACAAUUAAAAUAUUGACAGUUUUUUUCAGAUACUAGAGAUUAAGUAAAAUUUCCCCCUAAGGGGAAAA